CUUUGCUCCAGCCCUGCAAGAUAUUGUCACCUAGCUGAUGCUGUAGCUGCAUCUGCACAAGGCCAUUCCACUGAUCCAUCAGUGUAGCUGCUGUGGGUGAUGGCCAACAUGUCAAAUGCAGAGGAGUGCAAGAGAUCUGUCCCCACACUGGAGACCCAAAGGAUCUAGCUGAAUGCCUGUAUCCCACAGCAGUAUCCCACACAAGUUCAGCUAAAGGCCUAGAGCCCAUGGCUAUGUCUCAUGCAAGUCUGUAUCGAGGAUCUGCACUGCGAAGGGCUAAAGGCCAGUAGUGGAAGCUAGAAGGUCUGAGCUGAUGAGGUGAAGGAUCUGUGUCACCAGGCUGAGGGAUCUGCACUGGAGCCAGGAAGUGAUGCUCAAGGGGAAGAUCAGAGCUCCUCUGAAGAGAACAGCAGCCAUUCCCAGUGACAGGGAGGACACGAGCUCCUCUGAUGGUGCGAACAGCCAAGUUUAUAUCAGGAAAACUAGCCAUGGCAAGCUUCUCCAAGAAAAUCAACAGCACACAAUCUUCCCCUCCAGUUCUCCUUUUAUGCCAUUGGCAGUGAUUCUCAGAUCUACCUCCUAGAAAGCUCUUGGAAGGAACAGGAGACAUGUAACUAGAAUUCUGAAAUCUCAGUUAAAGGAACAGAGAGACUGUGUGCUUCCGGAACAAUGGUGGUUGCCAUGGCAGAGAGGUCUGCACAGGUUGCAGUCCCCACCACAAACAUAGCCACUACAUCGAGAGAGGACACAUCCCAGUGAGAACAUGCUGCUCUGAGCCUUCAACCCAGCUGUGUUCAUCCAGAGGCAGUGACUCCUAAGCAAGAAGCUCUUACACCAGCGUUGUCUGGGACCAAGAUGCACCCCGAAGAAGUGAGUCAGAGCCUCUGUGUGUCUCACACAGUUUAUUCACAACCGGUAGCGGGGGAGGAGGAAGAAAGCAAGCAAGGAGAAACCCAAGGACACUUGAGUGUUAAAAUCAUCCCACUCAAU
rnacentral:lncRNA from 1 species